AGCCACACCAUUGCCAUGUGAUACUACCCCACCACAUAAGCCAGUUGGGCUCUGUGUGAAAACACCAUCAUUGAGCGGGAAAGAAGGGACACAAACUCAACAGUCCAAGCUGGGUCUUGCUAUGUAUCUCAGGAAGCUGGCUUCAAACUCACAGUGAUCCUCCUGCCUCAGCCUCCUGAGUACUGGGAUUACAGGCCUGCACCACCACACCUGGCUCAGGCCUGCUUCAGAAAGCCAGGCAACUUUCUCUGGACACAUAGGCCUGCGUUGCACAUGUGCCACUGCUGAGGGGACUCAAAGAGAGAAAGCACUGCAGUUAUUCUCAC
rnacentral:lncRNA from 1 species